GUUUUAUUGGCCAUAAAAAUGAUCGCUUGUUUAUAAAUACAGAUGGAUAGAGCACAAUUCAUGCUGCUCGUAUUAUCCUUACUUGUUUUAUUUCUCAGUGUGGUUUUCUUGGAAUUCGUUGAUGCCCAGAACAUCGCUAUAGAUGUCCCGCGGAGGACCAUAAUCUACGGAAAGGAGGAUCUUACGGUCACGUGUUCCCUCCUCCAAUACAAUACUCUUCUCAAGGUGGACAGUAUUCAGCUUCUCAGAAACAAAACAGACGGCGGGGAGGAGCUAAUGGCUGCCCUAUCCGCCACGGGGCAAACCCCAUCCCACAGGCCUGGUACACGGAUCCGCGGCUCGCUGCACCCUCUGUGGUCUGCCAAACUCAGCCUCACUAUAGCUAAAGAUUUCAUAGAUUGCCGAGAUGACGACAGGGAGUAUAUGUGUACAAUGGCGGGAAUGGAUCAACUUUUUAAUCCUGUCAAUCAGCGAACAGAAGCAGUGCCAAUACAUAUAGCAGUGAAAUGCAGUUCAACACGGGCAAAGGACACAUGUUCAUCCUAUAACUCUGACAAUCACACACAGAAUGAUGUUAUUAUAAUAGGCAUCACUGUUGCCAUAGUGAUAGUUAUCAUAGGAGCUGGUGUCAAUUUUGCUGUGUGGAGAAAAUAUCAUAGUAAGUAAUAUGAGACUUACAGCCAUUUAACCCGCACUGAGAGAAGACAAAGUGAAAUUGCAGAUACAACAACACAAGGAUUCGAUCCUACACUCAAACUUGAGAGGUUACAAUACGACGAACUGGACGAUUCGCAGGAUCAGAAUACUUAUGACGUGCUUCAUCCCUAUCUAGAACCAAUCUCACACGUGCAAUAACAAAAUUAUUACACUAUGACUAUGAAUAAAUACACGUACAUGUGUUA